AUGAACGCUGGCGGCGUGCCUAAUACAUGCAAGUCGAGCGAACGGACGAGAAGCUUGCUUCUCUGAUGUUAGCGGCGGACGGGUGAGUAACACGUGGAUAACCUACCUAUAAGACUGGGAUAACUUCGGGAAACCGUAGCUAAUACCGGAUAAUAUUUUGAACCGCAUGGUUCAAAAGUGAAAGACGGUCUUGCUGUCACUUAUAGAUGGAUCCGCGCUGCAUUAGCUAGUUGGUAAGGUAACGGCUUACCAAGGCAACGAUGCAUAGCCGACCUGAGAGGGUGAUCGGCCACACUGGAACUGAGACACGGUCCAGACUCCUACGGGAGGCAGCAGUAGGGAAUCUUCCGCAAUGGGCGAAAGCCUGACGGAGCAACGCCGCGUGAGUGAUGAAGGUCUUCGAAUCGUAAAACUCUGUUAUUAGGGAAGAACAUAUGUGUAAGUAACUGUGCACAUCUUGACGGUACCUAAUCAGAAAGCCACGGCUAACUACGUG
rnacentral:rRNA from 1 species